rnacentral:tRNA from 1 species
GACUAUAGCUCAGUGGCAGAGCGCUUGCCUAGCACGCAUGAGGCACUGGGUUCCAUCCUCAGCACCA